GGGGGCGACUGGCUUCGACGUGGGUCGCGAAACCAUCGGUGCAUGCCGAGGUGCAGAGUUCCUCGUAAAUCCAGCUGCAACUUUAUAGUUGCCAACGAAGACAACUACGCUCUAGCGGCUUAAUCCCCGCUAGCCUCUCUGCCCGGGUUACCUGCGGCUUGGGAAUCUGAGGGGUCAAAUUACGCAGGAUCGCGAUUGGGUAUGCUCAUCGGCUCGGUCGUUAAACUUAGAUGGGCUCGCCGCUUGGCCCCUGUCUGUCGGGCACCAAGCGGUCAAAUCAAUGACCGACUAAGCAUGUAGAUCCGGUGCGCGGAGGGCUUACGGACGCGGGUUCGAUUCCCGCCGCCUCCACCA
rnacentral:tmRNA from 1 species